rnacentral:sRNA from 1 species
AACAUCAAGUCUCAGAAUAAACAUCAGCUGGUCUAUUGAAUCUCAUGAUCUAUGGGAUACAUCUCAACUACUUACCAUCAUAGCCAUCUACGUUGAGAAAGAAUACAAAUUACCCAGACUGCGAUUCUAUAGAGUUUGUACAUCUCUGUCAGUAUUAAAUCUAGAAGCAUGAAUACAGGAGAAGACGACGUGGACAUUUCUCCCAAGCCUCUUGCGAAGGGAAUGCCCCUGGAGCCAAGCUUGCCAACCAUCAAGUCAAACACUAAAUCGGAAGCUCAAACUCACAGUGUUCACUUCGCCAUCGAGGGGACUGAGCGGGUGAUGGUCCAGAAGAUCUCCAUGUUUGAACCCAACAUUGGGAUCUCACAGGCGCUGCUUUCCCCGACUGCGAGUGAGGUGGAGUUUGUGCUGACCAACCCGUGGACAGGGUAUGUGAGAAAAGCAGCUAGCUCUCCUACACAGCUCAGUAAGUUU